ACCUUGUUCAUUUGAGACACACCACUCACACACACACACACACUCACACACACACACACACACACACUCACACACACGCGCGCGCGCACAGACACAGACACACACAAACACACAUACAUCACCUCACAGUGUCAGAAGAUGGCGACUGCUGAACCGGAAGUGAACCAGAUUACAUCGAAUACAGAAGAAGAGCAGAACGAAGCUGCUGGCCAAGAAAUUGUAAAUCCUGAGGAUUAUAUUAAACAUCCACUACAGAACAGAUGGGCUCUGUGGUUCUUUAAGAAUGACAAAAGCAAAACCUGGCAAGCGAACCUGCGACUUAUCUCAAAGUUUGACACAGUCGAAGACUUUUGGGCACUUUACAAUCACAUCCAGCUCUCCAGUAACUUAAUGUCUGGAUGUGAUUACUCACUUUUUAAGGUAAGCUGUUUUAUUGUUAUGAUCGCUUUGAUUCGUUUUACUCAUUCGCACUUGUACACACUUGAGGUGUCAAAUAAUGAAUGUAGAAAUGUCUACAGCAUCGGAGCCCCAGGACACAAAAGAGCGUGUGAACUGAAGAGGGUGUUUUUUUUUUUUUUUGUUUGUUUUGUUUUUUGUUUUGUUCUCCCCUCCGAGCAGGACGGAAUCGAGCCCAUGUGGGAGGAUGAGAGGAAUAAACGUGGUGGACGCUGGCUCAUCACUCUGACCAAACAGCAGCGCAGAGCAGAUUUGGAUCGCUUCUGGCUCGAGACGCUCCUGUGUCUGGUGGGUGAAGCUUUUGACGAUCACAGCGAUGACGUGUGCGGAGCCGUCGUCAACGUUCGAACGAAAGGAGACAAAAUCGCGAUAUGGACGACGGACUACGAGAACAAAGACGCGAUCGUACACAUAGGGCGUGUGUAUAAGGAAAGGUUAGGCGUUCCGUCUAAAGUCAUCAUCGGCUACCAGUCCCACGCAGAUACGGCCACGAAGAGCGGCUCCACCACCAAGAACAAAUUUGUUGUCUGACCAACAAGGACCCGUACGGGACAGUUUGUAGCUCAAGCAGGAACUCGCUUGUUCUGUGGCUGUUCAAGACUCUUUUAAAUCUCUUUCUACACCAAAUAGAGCGUUGUUAUAGCACACACACUAUGUAGGGAGCCUACAUAGUGAAUAGGGAGGUGAAAUAUUAGUGACAUAUAAAAGAAAUUGCAGCAGUCCUGUUUAAGAAAAGAGGAAAAAAAACCCAAACAAAAUAAAUUUGCAUCUAACAGCAGAGUCGACGAAAUCGGAGCGUUCUUGUUUCCAGGACGACGUGGGGGAAAAAAAUCUUGGGACAUUUAUGGAGACUAUAAAAGCGGUGUACGUCUUGUACACCUGCACGGUGUAUAAACACCAGACCACGUGAUUGUUUUUGUUUUCUUUAUAUUUUCCCUUCUUUUUAUUUUAUUUGAUUUGAUUUUAAACGUCAUUAUUCCGUAUAUCAUUAAUUACGAACCGAGACGUGAUCUCGUCGCGGUGUUAUAUUUCGAAUGUGUUCAAUUAAAAAAAAAAAAAACAUUUGUUAAUUAAUUUUUUUUAAAAAUACGUUACAUUUAAGGCUCUUUUGAAUACUACACUUUCAAGCUAAUUUAUUUCUGUGUUGUUUUUUGUCUUUCGCAUUUACAUUUUAGUUCAUUUUAGAGUAUUAAUACGAUGAUGUGUUAAGACGCAUCGAGGGUUUUUUUUUUUGUUUACUUUCUUUAUAGUGUUGUACAUCUCUGAUUUUUUUUUUUUUGUUGUUGUUGUUGUACUUUUUUUCAUUUAAUGAUAAAUGAUUAUAAAGAGUUUGAGAGUUCCGAAAGCUCCUGAUUCAAAGAUUUACAGAUAAAAGAAAAAUGAUUAUGAGGAUUGUUUAAGUGUAAAUAAAUUUGUACAGCGCGUUGUCUUAACGCCGUCUUUAUAGACGUCA